AGGAUGCAAGAGCUCCUUUACUGUGUAACUCUGGCUUCAAGGAAACCCAAGAAUAUAGUCUGGUAGCCCAAUCAGGAGCAGGAGCAGGACUGGAUGCAUUUCUGUGUUCAGUGUGCACAGAAGCAAAAAUCAGAAGCGGUGAGCGGCACUGGGAUCUUCCUGAAGCAUCUUCAUGUGUGCGGUAAAUGCCAGGAAUACAGUGAGCAAUGGCUCCACCCCAAGGCCUUCUUCUAAGUUCCUGCUUAAUGACUCCCACCAUGCACACAGUAAGUGAAGAAACGAGGACACAGAUCAGGCGGAAGUGCACACUCACCUUUUCUUGCUGUUUCCUCUGAAGCUCUAACUCCUGGAUCUGCUGCUUUAACUGACAGAUGUUCUGUUCCAGAUCUUCAAUCACUCCAGAUGUCUGUGAGGAUGGCAGAACAGAGAGCAGAGCACUGACUUUUGUACUGUUCCACUUCUGACUGACAUAAAGCUACCAUUUACCCAUAAAAGUUCAGUCAGAAUUGAAGUUAUAUAAAUCUGAAUAAAAACUAUUUUAAACAUA